rnacentral:rRNA from 1 species
UACGGGGGGAGCGAACGUUGUUCGGAAUUACUGGGCGUAAAGGGCGCGUAGGCGGCCUGCUAAGUCGAACGUGAAAUCCCUGGGCUCAACCCAGGAACUGCGUCCGAUACUGGUUGGCUUGAAUCCGGGAGAGGGAUGUGGAAUUCCAGGUGUAGCGGUGAAAUGCGUAGAUAUCUGGAGGAACACCGGUGGCGAAGGCGACAUCCUGGACCGGUAUUGACGCUGAGGCGCGAAAGCCAGGGGAGCAAACGGG